UGUGAUCGAGAGAGACGCCUUCCAGGACCUGAAGCAGCUGGAGCGACUGCGCCUGAAUAAGAACAAGCUCCAGGUCCUCCCAGAACUGCUGUUCCAGAGCACGCCGAAGCUCACCAGACUUGAGGAGGUACCCUGGACUCUCAGACCAACACCUCCAGGCAGGGGUAACAGAUGCACGGGGAGCUGGGAGCCCCCCAGAGCCUUUGCCUGGGUCACCUGUUCCCCUCAGCACCUGAGGGUGCACCAUCUCCAGAGCUCACCAGCCACCCAGCCACCUGCGAGUCUGCCCUGGCUCCCCCCCUCCUCAUCCCCCCCCACACACACCUGCAGGGAGCAGCAUCUGGCCAGGUGUGCUGUGAGUCUCCAGGGAGCUGGUGGUUAGGACGUAGAGAAGGACUUUGGUUUGUCUGUUUCGUUUUCUGUCAUCACUGGGGCUUCACUGUCCAGCUGACAGAGGUAAAGACAGCAUGGCACCAGAAGCUUCCCUGAGUGUGUGUGUGUAUGUGGGGGCUCAAACCCGAGUCUUACGCAUGGCAGAGCCAGAACGCUAAGCAAGUGAGCUGUCCCAGCAGGUUCCGCCUAACGGGGCUCUGGAGGCAUGUAGCCCUCCCUGCGUGCAGACCUGCUGUCUACUGGCCCUAGCCAGGCGACCUCCACUUUCUCAGCCUCCACAGCAAGGACAGUCCCCGCUGUUCAGCCUCUCAGGCCCCAGAACAAAGUGCCUCUGGCUGGAGGCCAAUGACCAAGCCAGUAGAAGGGCACUUUGUCAGGAGCCUGGGAGCUUAGAUCAAGGUAGGUUGGUUUCUUAAGGCUUCUCUCCCUCUCCCUCUCC